UACGGAGGGUGCGUGCGUUAAUCGGAAUUACUGGGCGUAAAGCGUGCGUAGGCGGUCUGUUAAGUCCGAUGUGAAAGCCCUGGGCUCAACCUGGGAAUUGCAUUGGAAACUGGCGAGCUAGAGUGCGGUAGAGAGUGGCGGAAUACCCGGUGUAGCGGUGAAAUGCGUAGAGAUCGGGAGGAACAUCCGUGGCGAAGGCGGCCACCUGGACCAGCACUGACGCUGAGGCACGAAAGCGUGGGUAGCAAACAGG
rnacentral:misc_RNA from 1 species